UACCAGCACCCCGAGUGGUCGGGACGUUUAUUGGGCCUAAAGCAUCCGUAGCCGGUUCUACAAGUCUUCCGUUAAAUCCACCUGCUUAACAGAUGGGCUGCGGAAGAUACUAUAGAGCUAGGAGGCGGGAGAGGCAAGCGGUACUCGAUGGGUAGGGGUAAAACCCUCUGAUCCAUUGAAGACCACCAGUGGCGAAGGCGGCUUGCCAAUACGCGCUCGACGGUGAGGGAUGAAAGCUGGGGGAGCAAACCGG
rnacentral:rRNA from 1 species